CUGGCCAAGCAGCGGCGCCUCUUGUCUUGUCGCCCGCACCUGCCCGUCCCGCCGCCACUACCACCUCCAGCCAGUUUAUUUCUCUUAUGGAAGUGAGAGACAGGAAGACAGAAUACCCUCAACUGCGUCUGUCACUGGGAUCCAGGCCCCUCGCCUUCCCAGCCAAUCAGAACCAUGGAUACAAGUUGCCGCAUCUACUGGUCGACGGAGGAUUCCGAACCUGCGACCUUCUAUAGGGACCCAGCAUCAGUUGAUUAGUACCCUAACAUACCUUCCUGGUGAGAACAGCAGUGGGUGUUUGAUCGUCCUCAGGGUCAAAGGCUAGGAGAAGCCGCAGCUCGGGUUCCUAGGGUGGCAGAGUGGCCGCGUCUGCCCCGUUGGCCUGGAGCACUGUCAACUGCCACCUCUUUCACUGCUAGCUAUUCCCUUGUGGGUAACAAGUCAACGAGCCUCACGGUCACUGUCCUAGAUUCUCCGAAGACUCAUUCAGUCAGAGCCACCAUCGGGGCCAGCAGGUCGAAGGCGGUUAAAGUGCCGGA